GGUAAAAUGGCCGAGACUAGGCGUUAAACUGUAAAUUUAUUUACGUAAUUAAAAUUACUUUUACCA
rnacentral:tRNA from 1 species